UACGAAGGGGGCUAGCGUUGCUCGGAAUCACUGGGCGUAAAGCGCACGUAGGCGGCUUUUUAAGUCAGUGGUGAAAUCCUGGAGCUCAACUCCAGAACUGCCUUUGAUACUGAGAGGCUUGAGUCCGGGAGAGGUGAGUGGAACUGCGAGUGUAGUGGUGAAAUACGUAGAGAUUGGGAAGAACACCAGUGGCGAAGGCGGCUAGCUGGACGGUUUCUGACGCUAAGACGCGAAAGCGUGGGGAGCAAACAGG
rnacentral:rRNA from 1 species